UCCUCCUUCCCACGAAUCCUCUCUUCUCCCUCCUCCUCCUUAUUCCUUCUUAAUUUACCUAUAAAUUCUGCCCUAAACCCUAACAAAUGUAACACACAGGAAAAAAAAUCUUCCUUUUCCGUCCCCCUCUUCUCUCCUCCACACAAGUUCCAAUCUUUAUCACCUCAUUCAUAUCUUUUGUCCAUUUUCUCUUUUUUUAAAAAGACCCUUUUAUUCAGAUUUCUUCUUUCUUUUUCCCCCAAUUCAUUUCACAUUUUCUUUUUGCUCAAUUUUUCAUCUAUAUAUGCCCUCUAAUAGUUUCAUUCUUCAUCUCACUUCAACCCCUUUAACAUUUUGUGUUAAAGAUCCAUUCUUUUUCUUAUUCUCUUCAAUUCUUGAUUUUUUUUCUAUUGGUUUUAGCAAUUACCAUUUUAAUAAUAAUGGCUAUUGCUUACCCUCAAUUUUUCAAACCCAAAAAGGUGGAACCUUCAUUAAUGGUUUCAGUUUCUUCUGUCAAUUUAUCACAAGAUGAGCUUAAAAAAGUUGCAGCAUAUAAAGCGGUUGAAUUUGUUGAGUCAGGUAUGGUUGUUGGUUUAGGCACAGGUUCAACAGCAAAACAUGCUGUAGACAAAAUAGCUGAAUUAUUACACACUGGAAAAUUAAAAAACAUUAUAGGAAUACCAACUUCCAAGAUUACACAUGAACAAGCUGUUUCACUUGGUAUACCAUUAUCAGAUCUGAAUAAACAUCCAAUUGUUGAUUUAUCAAUUGAUGGUGCUGAUGAAGUUGACCAAGAAAUGAAUUUGGUCAAAGGUAGAGGAGGGUCAUUACUUAGAGAAAAAAUGGUUGAAGCUGCUUCAAAG
rnacentral:lncRNA from 1 species